UGCAAGUCGUGCGGGCCUUGUUGAAAGCUUGCUUUUAACAAGGCUAGCGGCGGACGGGUGAGUAACACGUGGGCAACCUGCCUGUAAGACCGGGAUAACGCCGGGAAACCGGGGCUAAUACCGGAUAGUUUUUUCCUCCGCAUGGAGGAAAAAGGAAGGGCGGCUUCGGCUGCCACUUACAGAUGGGCCCGCGGCGCAUUAGCUAGUUGGUGGGGUAACGGCCCACCAAGGCAACGAUGCGUAGCCGACCUGAGAGGGUGAUCGGCCACAUUGGGACUGAGACACGGCCCAAACUCCUACGGGAGGCAGCAGUAGGGAAUCUUCCGCAAUGGACGAAAGUCUGACGGAGCAACGCCGCGUGAGUGAAGAAGGCCUUCGGGUCGUAAAACUCUGUUGCCGGGGAAGAACAAGUGCCGUUCAAACAGGGCGGCGCCUUGACGGUACCCGGCCAGAAAGCCACGGCUAACUAC
rnacentral:rRNA from 1 species